AACGAACGCUGGCGGCGUGCCUAACACAUGCAAGUCGAGCGCGAAAGUUCCUUCGGGAGCGAGUAGAGCGGCGGACGGGUGAGUAAUACAUAGGUAAUCUACCUUCGAGCUUGGGAUAACCCCGCGACAGUGGGGCUAAUACCGGAUAAGACCACGUAAUUAUUUUACGGGGUAAAAGGUGGCUUAUUUUUUAAAUGAGCUAUCACUUGAGGAUGAGCCUGUGGCCUAGCAGCUAGUUGGCGGGGUAAGAGCCCACCAAGGCUAUGACGGGUAGCUGGUCGGAGAGGACGACCAGCCACACUGGGACUGAGACACGGCCCAGACUCCUACGGGAGGCAGCAGUGGGGAAUAUUGGGCAAUGGGCGAAAGCCUGACCCAGCGACGCCGCGUGGGCGAUGAAGGCCUUCGGGUUGUAAAGCCCUGUCAUGCGGAAAGAACGACCCUGAGACGCAUACUCUCAGGGAGUGACGGUACCGCAGGAGGAAGCACCGGCUAACUCCGUGCCAGCCGCCGCCGUAA
rnacentral:rRNA from 1 species